GGUCUCAUUCUGGAAACGGGUGCUCACGCUUAACUAACCAUGUCCUCACAACAAAACGGGGCGGGGGAUUCUGCAACUCAAAUUCUAAAUACUCCGCUUCCCAAGAGGACAAAAGCGCUUAUGAGGUACCUGAAAGGGGCCGGAAGCCAUUGUUACUCCCCCGGAGGGCGGGCUAAGCAGCGGAAGUGACGACACGAGUGCGCCCUUAAAUAGCGGUAGGCGGGCGCGCAGCGCUCUCUCGGCCUUAGCGCCAUCUUCUCAGGUGGGUGUUUGUGUGGCCCGUGUGUGGAUUCCGCGUACAAUCCGUUUACAUCUGGUCUCUGCGCUUGCCAUCAUCACAGCAAACUAACUGUAACCUUUCUCUCUUUGCCCGUAGAAGCCUCUGCGCCAUGAGAGCCAAGUGGAGGAAGAAGAGAAUGCGCAGGCUGAAGCGCAAAAGAAGAAAGAUGAGGCAGAGGUCCAAGUAA